AGGAGCAACCCCAGUGGGGGCAGCCAGCUCUGGAGCCCUGGAUUCAGCUCCCGCAGUAACUAUGGAGGUCUCAGUCUGUAGGGGCGUGGAUGCUCCAGGGUCGG
rnacentral:pre_miRNA from 1 species